rnacentral:rRNA from 1 species
UGGUAAGGUAAUGGCUUACCAAGGCGACGAUGGGUAGCCGGCCUGAGAGGGUGUACGGCCACACUGGGACUGAGACACGGCCCAGACUCCUACGGGAGGCAGCAGUAGGGAAUAUUGCGCAAUGGAGGGAACUCUGACGCAGCGACGCCGCGUGAGCGAUGAAGGUCUUCGGAUCGUAAAGCUCUGUCCUUGGGGAAGAAGGGUGCAUUAUAGCAUCUUGACGGUACCCGAGGAGGAAGCCCCGGCUAACUACGUGCCAGCAGCCGCGGUAAUACGUAGGGGGCAAGCGUUGUCCGGAAUUAUUGGGCGUAAAGGGUGCGUAGGCGGCCUUUUAAGUCAGGUGUGAAAGCCCACGGCUUAACCGUGGGAUUGCAUUUGAAACUGGAAGGCUUGAGUAUCGGAGAGGGUAGUGGAAUUCCCAGUGUAGCGGUGAAAUGCGUAGAUAUUGGGAGGAACACCAGUGGCGAAGGCGACUACCUGGACGAAAACUGACGCUGAUGCACGAAAGCUAGGGGAGCAAACAGGAUUAGAUACCCUGGUAGUCCUAGCUGUAAACGAUGGGUACUAGGUGUAGGAGGUUUCGAUACCUUCUGUGCCGGAGUUAA